rnacentral:tRNA from 3 species
GCCGAGGUGGCGGAAUUGGCAGACGCGCCGGACUCAAAAUCCGGUGCCCGCAAGGGCGUGAGGGUUCGAGUCCCUCCCUCGGUA